GACCUCCUGAGGUCCCUUCCAACCCUGAUAUUCUAUGAUUCUAUUCAUUUAUUUUUCCGGUUUGAACACCAACACUUUCUUAUAACAGUAACUGAGUGAAGAGAGGCCAUGCCACCUGGUGAACAAACAUGUUGCACUUUGCCAAAAAUACGUAGACUUUACACCUGGAAAAUAUGCAGAGUACAUGGAGAAUAUGGCUAAGUGGGAUCCUUGUGGGUGAAGACCACUCUUGCUGUAUCCUUCCAUGGGAAUUAUUUUAAAUAUCUGACUCUUGGUGUAAUCUGGUUAAUUUCAAAAGCCAAAAAAUCUGCUCUUCAGAAGUUCUUUCCAUGAGCUUCAGGGAUAAGUCAUUUCUGGCAGGGAUGAUUUGCCAGGACCCAGAGUUUUGAGCUCCCUUGGAGCCAGGGGAAAUCAGCCCAACGUACCUUUCAUUGAGGUGGCUGAAAUGUCAUUAGGGGCUCCUCUUGCACGCCAUUGAAUGUAUCUCUUUUUACAGGGUCAAAGAUGGAAAAGGUACAGUCCUAUUUAACGUUGGAUGAAGAUGACUUGCUCUCUGACCUAAGCAGUGGGGACCUAGAGAUGUUGCUAUCAUUCCUGGUGGGUAAGGUACAUGAAAUCGAAGUGAGAGUGAGCACAGAGAAGGAUGAGAUCAUGAGACUUGAGACAGAAAGAGCACAAUACGUCACAGAAAGAGACAACUGUCUGUCACUGGCAGCACAGAUUGUGCAUUUACAUCCAGUAUUGGAAGAGGAAUUCAAGACUCGAGAACAACUUCAAGGUGUUGCAGCUGAGCUGAAAAGGCUGAAAAAGGAUAUUGCUCAAGAUACCAGCCCCUAGCACGAUGGGGCCCUGAGCCCUGACUAGAGACUCCAAUGAUGCUACUGGAAUGAAAAUAACUUCUUCUGAAAUAUCUCCUCUCACCUAUAGGAGGCUCCUAUAGUGAGCAGCCAGAUGCGGCCAAAUUAGAACAGUUGAUAGCUGAAUCAGAAACCAUGAUAACCUCUCUCCAUCAGAAACAGCGUAUGUUUAAAAGCGAGAAAAUUCAUCUGACUAAGGUACUGGAGACCACCCAAAAUACGCUUUCCGAGGCACAGGCAGAAAGCCAUGCAGCUGAUCAGGAGCUGCUACGUUUGCAGAAGGAAUGUACUGAGCAAGCUCAUGUGAAGUCUUUGGGGGAUAAUGAAGCCGACAGACAGCUGGAUGCCUGCAUCAGACAGCUGGGAGUGUUAAACCUCCUCGCUAGGAAGAAGUGAACUUCUGUCUCCAGCAGGGGAUGUGUGUUAAUCAGCAGACCUGAAGUUCCGAAUUCCACUUGCAGAAGAUGUAGGCAAGUAGGAGGUGUGUGGCCACCAGUACACUGAGCCCCUCUUAUAGGAGGCAUGGGAAGAGACACCAUCUAGAGCAUAGCUGUACCAGGUUAAGCAGCCUGACAGUUCCCCAAUUUGAUUUCAUUUUACUUCACUUCAUUCACCUUCCAGCUGUCCACCAGGACAUAGCAGCAAAAUAUUUGAUUGUUCUUCCCCAGUCUUGUCUUCUCUGGAUGCUGCAUGGGGGACAUGAAGCAAAACCUGCUGUAUGAUGAAUUCUGCUACUCUCGGUUUCAUGUAUGCAGGGUUUUAUUUUCAUAAAUAUUGAGACUAGUCCAAUGGUUUGUUGCCAUUGGUGUCAGGGAUGCAGAGACUAAAGGAAACCAAUGGUUUAAGAAGGGCCCAUUUCAGCCAAACUCUCCUGGCAUCAGCCAUUUCCAUGUCCGCUCACCCUGGUUUGUGUGGCUGCUUCCCAUCCAACAAUAGAUUUCCCUUUCCAGCUAGUAGUCUAAUUUCCCUGUUUAGAUAGGCCAUAUCCACUGCGUUGAUGCACUUCUGUUGCUGUCUCAUUCCACUUCACACGGACCUAUCGCCAUUCUUUCCACUGGAUUGCCUUGAAGUUUCUCCAUGUUGAGAGCAGGGUAUCUCCAGGCAAUCUGUGAAGAUCAUCAGGUGUAUGUGAAACACAACUGGAGACGGAAGCCAUUUGCUGAUCUGGAAGCUGGUCAGCUCAUGGGAGACAAUGUACAAAAUGGUGGUUAGGUGUAAUUGUAAUGCAGUGCGGCUGGAUUUCUAGAAAGCUCUGAGCAAAGACAUGUUUUUGCAGAACUUCGAAAUAAAGUCAACUUUCUUCCAUAA